GGCGGGGCGAGUGGCAGCCUUCGGGCGGGCUGUCCCCGCUGGCCGCUGGCUGUGCGUGCGGCUUGUCUACGCACAGAACUGCGCUGUCACCCGACUCAGAAGCUCUCACUGCGGCCCCUCCAAGCGCGGGUCCCGGAGCGGCGUGGGCGCGUCCCUGUCCGCGGUGCACCGGCCUCUGCCCGACGCCUGCUGAGUCGUGACUUUGCCUCUCUCGGACUCCGCACCCGCUCGGCCCCCAGCGCCAGUUUUCCCAGCUGAGAACCCCGGCGAGCUCCCUUUGCACAGAUGCUGGCGCCCGUCUUAGCCUGGUGAUUGGGACGUAGCACAGCUGUAUUCUGAAAUAGAAAACAAAGGUGUAUCACAUUUACGGUGCCUCUGUUCUAUCAUAACAUUUGAGCUGACAAUAUUUUCCCCAAAUUUGUUAGUUUCUUGGUCACUCUUCUUGUGGGCCAGGAUGGCGUGUCUUAUAUUUCUUCCAUGGGAUUCCCGAUGCUGUUCUAACUCACCAUCAUAUUUAGAGACUCUUCUCAAGGUGGAAUAAAUGACAUCAUCUCUCAGGAACCCUUCCAUCAUAAUGCCAUGAUAUAACUGUUCCUGUAAAAUGUCAUUCUUUGACACUGA